rnacentral:misc_RNA from 1 species
GUUGAACUAAUAUGUCCAAAAACCACCUACACCAAAUUCCUCCAAGUUCCAAACCCAACACUGUUAAUACCCCUCUCUUAUUUUGCCCACCACAGCCCAUGGCCACUGAAGACUUCAGCUUCCCCACAUUCACCGACACCACCUCCUCCGCCAUCGACUCUCCGCCUCUUUGGCGGUUGUCUCCGGCAGCCUCUCCUGAUUCUUGCCAUAGAAUCACUAAAACAGAAGAAGAAGAAGAAGAAGUUGGAGAUGAUGUGUACCUGGCUGCCUGCUGAUGAAAUGUAGGCUGCUGCUAAGUGGUGGGCGUUUAUUGGUGUGGCAUGUAUGUCCUAAUAUUUAUUUAAAUGGGCCGAUUUUAAUGGAUUGAUGGUUAUUGGGCUAAACUUAAUUUAGAGAUAAUAUAUUUUAUUAAUACUUUUUUUGCAUGUAUUUUUUUAAAUUUUAUUUUUCAUAAAAUAAAAAAAUAUAAAUUAUAGUUAUAAAAUUCAAUUUAAAUUAUUUUAAAUUAUGUUUAAUAAGAUUUUAUUAAAUUACAUAUGCAGUAAAAAUUAAAUUACAAAGCAAUUAUAUUUGAUUUUUAAUAAUAUUUAUCCAAGCCACCAUGUUUAAAUUUUGAUCCAUCUCCCGUAUUUUCCAUAUAGGAAGCUCACAAGUUGACACAUGGAUAUUUAUCCAUUUCUGACACCUGUACCCAAGUCCGAGUAACAUUGGUUCAACCUUUCUAAGUGAAAAAAAAUUAUUCACACAGUGAUCUAACUUGAGUGAGCUCUAAGUCGUACUAUUUUCAACCAUAACUAAACACAAGCAAGCAAUCAAUCAACACAUCAAGGAUAAAACGAGCAAAAGAGGAAUAAUUCUUCCCAUCUGCGAUGGAAAUUCUUUAAAAUAAACACACUGAGCACAAACAAUCCUUCCACUACAAGUUACAUAGGACAUCCUUUUCCAACCUUCCUUUAAUGAAAAUGGUCCUUUAGAAGGAGAAUUUUUUGUGAAAAUAUGGACCGUUCACUUUAUUUAGCCAUACAAGGGCUUUAGCUAAUCUACAGGAAUUUUAAGAACUAAAUUCAAGAAGCCUAACAAAACCAAAUAAGAUCAUUUUUGUGCUUACCUCCAAAACAACUACUCCAAGAG